UGUACUCAGGUGAAUAAUAUGUUUGUGAUGUUACUCUGAGUGCAUAUCCACACCGGGCGAGCUUGAUUUUUCAAGCUCGCCCGGUGUGGAUAUGCACUCAGAGUAACAUCACAAACAUAUUAUUCACCUGAGUACA